rnacentral:rRNA from 1 species
UACGUAGGGUGCGAGCGUUGUCCGGAAUUAUUGGGCGUAAAGAGCUUGUAGGCGGUCUGUCGCGUCGGUCGUGAAAACUUGGGGCUUAACCCUGAGCUUGCGGUCGAUACGGGCAUGACUGGAGUUCGGCAGGGGAGACUGGAAUUCCUGGUGUAGCGGUGAAAUGCGUAGAUAUCGAGAGGAACACCAGUGGCGAAGGCGAGUCCCUGGACAACACCUGACACUGAGGCACGAAAGCUAGGGGAGCAAACAGG